GUGAGGAAUAUUGGACAAUGGGCGCAAGCCUGAUCCAGCCAUGCCGCGUGCAGGAAGACGCAUCUAUGGUGUGUAAACUGCUUUUGUACGGGAAGAAACACUCCCUCGUGAGGGAGCUUGACGGUACCGUAAGAAUAAGGAUCGGCUAACUCCGUGCCAGCAGCCGCGGUAAUACGGAGGAUCCAAGCGUUAUCCGGAAUCAUUGGGUUUAAAGGGUCCGUAGGCGGUUUAAUAAGUCAGUGGUGAAAGCCCAUCGCUCAACGAUGGAACGGCCAUUGAUACUGUUAGACUUGAAUUACAAGGAAGUAACUAGAAUAUGUAGUGUAGCGGUGAAAUGCUUAGAUAUUACAUGGAAUACCAAUUGCGAAGGCAGGUUACUACUUGUGGAUUGACGCUGAUGGACGAAAGCGUGGGGGGCGAACAGGAUUAGAAACCCUUGUAGUCC
rnacentral:rRNA from 1 species